rnacentral:rRNA from 1 species
ACUCCAGACUCCUACGGGAGGCAGCAGUGGGGAAUAUUGCACAAUGGGGGAAACCCUGAUGCAGCGACGCCGCGUGAGCGAUGAAGUAUUUCGGUAUGUAAAGCUCUAUCAGCAGGGAAGAAGAUGACGGUACCUGACUAAGAAGCCCCGGCUAACUACGUGCCAGCAGCCGCGGUAAUACGUAGGGGGCAAGCGUUAUCCGGAUUUACUGGGUGUAAAGGGAGCGUAGACGGCGAUGCAAGCCAGAUGUGAAAGCCCGGGGCUCAACCCUGGGACUGCUCUGGAAACUGUAAAGCUGGAGUGCGGGAGGGGCAGGCGGAAUUCCUGGUGUAGCGGUGAAAUGCGUAGAUAUCAGGAGGAACACCGGCGGCGAAGGCGGCCUGCUGGACUGCGACUGACGUUGAGGCUCGAAAGCGUGGGGAGCGAACAGGAUUAGAUACCCGUGUAUA